GGUGGUGGCUCAGUGGUAGAGUGCUUGCCUGUGUGUGUGAGGCCCUGGGUUCAAUUCUCAGCACCACCU
rnacentral:tRNA from 1 species